rnacentral:rRNA from 1 species
UACGGAGGGAGCUAGCGUUGUUCGGAAUUACUGGGCGUAAAGCGCACGUAGGCGGCUUUGUAAGUUAGAGGUGAAAGCCCAGGGCUCAACCCUGGAAUUGCCUUUAAGACUGCAUCGCUUGAACAUCGGAGAGGUAAGUGGAAUUCCGAGUGUAGAGGUGAAAUUCGUAGAUAUUCGGAAGAACACCAGUGGCGAAGGCGACUUACUGGACGAUUGUUGACGCUGAGGUGCGAAAGCGUGGGUAGCAAACAGG